GUAUAGCUCAGUGGUAGAGUGCGUGUCAGCGUGCAUGAGGUCCUGGGUUCAAUCCCCAGUAC
rnacentral:tRNA from 1 species